rnacentral:ncRNA from 1 species
AAGGUGUAUCCCCAAAAACCUGUAAUAGAGUAGGGA